rnacentral:rRNA from 1 species
GAUGGACGCUGGCGGCGUGCCUAACACAUGCAAGUCGAACGGAAUUUACAUGAAGCCUAGCGAUUGUAAAUUUAGUGGCGGACGGGUGAGUAACGCGUGGGUAACCUGCCUUGUACUGGGGGACAACAGUUGGAAACGACUGCUAAUACCGCAUAAGCGCACGGUAUCGCAUGAUACAGUGUGAAAAACUCCGGUGGUAUAAGAUGGACCCGCGUCUGAUUAGCUAGUUGGUGAGGUAACGGCCCACCAAGGCGACGAUCAGUAGCCGGCCUGAGAGGGUGAACGGCCACAUUGGGACUGAGACACGGCCCAAACUCCUACGGGAGGCAGCAGUGGGGAAUAUUGCACAAUGGGGGAAACCCUGAUGCAGCGACGCCGCGUGAGUGAUGAAGUAUUUCGGUAUGUAAAACUCUAAUCAGCAGGGAAGAUAAUGACGGUACCUGACUAAGAAGCACCGGCUAAAUACGUG